AGCCGCACUACUUUGCACAAAAUAGCGGACUGUCAAACUAAUUCAUUUGCAACAAAUUUCGGUCAAUUUCUCCAAAAUUUUAAGGUGUGAACGCGAGGUUUUAAUUUUAGGGUCCGACUAUUGACGCGGGGCCCACGUAUAAGUCCAGCCGUACUACUUUGCACAAAGUAGCGGACUGUCAAACUAAUUCAUGUGCAACAAAUUUCGGUCAAUUUCUCCAAAAUUUUAAGGUGUGAACGUGAGGUUUUAAUUUUAGGGUCCGACUCUUGACGCGGGCCCCACAUAUAAGUCCAGCCGCACUACUUUGCACAGAGUAGCGGACUGUCAAACUAAUUCAUCUGCAACAAAUUUCGAUCAAUUUCUCCAAAAUUUUAAAGUGUGA
rnacentral:lncRNA from 1 species